rnacentral:rRNA from 1 species
UACGAAGGGGGCUAGCGUUGUUCGGAAUUACUGGGCGUAAAGCGCACGUAGGCGGAUAUUUAAGUCAGGGGUGAAAUCCCAGGGCUCAACCCUGGAACUGCCUUUGAUACUGACGAUCUGGAGAUCGGGAGAGGUUGGUGGAAUUCCGAGUGUAGAGGUGAAAUUCGUAGAUAUUCGGAGGAACACCAGAAGCGAAGGCGGCCAACUGGCCCGAUACUGACGCUGAGGCGCGAAAGCGUGGGGAGCAAACAGG